AAAAUUAAAAAAAAAAAAAAAUAAAAUAAAAUGGCUAAGCUUUUAUUGCUUCUUUACUUUGCUCUCUUGACAUUGACUUGUGUCAUGGCUUGUUUACAACCAGGCCAGCCUUGCUCCAACAGUAACCAGUGCUGUGGUUUGUUGAUAUGCAACCCUUGGGCUAAUCGUUGCACAAAGGGUGGAAACUGGCCAUUGGCUGACGCUAACAGUGAUGGCAACCAGUAAUCACAAUGAGCUUACUGACAUUUCCACGUUAUUUCGUAGGCUUACAAUCAAAUAUACAUUUUUUAUCAAUUAAUCGUAUACAAUGACUUCUUUAAUUUGACUUAUUAUUUAAUUGGAAAAUAUAUAUGUAUUAUUAAAAACAAA